GCGGUCAUGGAGAGUCUCCAUCCAGCUGGAUCACUGUCACAGGGAAACACACCACCACACCUCCACCUGCAUCCACACCUCCUCCUGGUUUCAUCUCCAUCACUCUUCCUCCGUCACUCUCUCCUCCUGUUCUCUCUGUGUUGUCAUGUGUUGGCUCAGUCUAUGUUCUGGUUCUACUGGUGUUACUGGUUCUGCUGGUGAGAGGAUGUGUUCACAGGAAACCUGAAGGUCAGGAAGAAGCUGGAGAAGAUGACAUCAUCACUCAUGUCAUGUAUAUCACCAUCAAGAUAUCAAAUAAUCAGAAGCAGCCAAUCAGACGAACUUGAGUAGCGGCCGGGCCAGGGAGAGGGGGCUGCUGCUGGAGGAUGGCACCGAAGCCAGAGCAGCUUGCACUGGAAAGUGCUCUAAACGUGACACAAAGCAGUGUGUAUGAUAACAAUAAAAACUGCAAACCACAGUUGCAGGGUCAUGUCUGGAUAGUAUGAGGUGUUUAAAAAGAAAGACCGAACAGACCAACGACCUUUAACUCUGUGCUUUCAGCCUCUUCGCAUUUAAAACCACAGCAUCUAUUUUUCAGUGUUUUUGCAGAAACUUCUCUCCACUUUGUGUGUUGGUUUGGCUAAUAAUAGUGCUCAUGUUGUGAGAACCUGUUUGCUUUGUGCCCUGUGGUGAAGUGUAUCAGUCUGCAGUAGAAAAAGAUGACACAAAUGUUACGCCCGGGUUCUCUGUGGGCACUCUGUGUUUCAAAGCAGAGACAGUGAGGAGAGAAAACUGUGAGGUUUCUGUGGUUUAUAAAUGUUUUCAUGUACUCUCUUCAUAAUGUUGCAUAAAAGAAUAUAAUCAAAUCUUUUGCCAUAGCUGUAUUGCAAUGGUAUGUGAUGAGUGUUACAGAAAACCCAGCAGAGUCAACAGCACCCUCCAAAUGCACACCGUUCAUCCUCCACUGUUUAACAACACAGAUAUGAUGAGCCAGAGAUGGCGGACUAAGCGGCUGUCCUUAAUUUAGCUCUGGUGCAAGGUACCUUUUAUCCCUCCUUUUUUUGACGCUUUGUUCCCUCAAAAAUCUUACCUAACUUUACAAAGAUGCCAAAAAAACAGAAGAAGGACAAAAUGGAAUCUAAGUCUUCCCAGAAUGAUAAGAUACAAGAUUUGGCUUCAGCUACGGAUGACCACGAUUACUGCCUUUCAGACGUGGAGCUUGAAAGUGACGGAGGGGAAAAAAGAAAUCUAGAGGAAAUGAAUGACUUGCUUAGUGAUCAUUCGAGUAAGGUUGUUAGACCUAGUCCCACAACAAGUGACAUUCUGGCAGCUAUUCAAGCUCUCCACGUGAGAUUUGAUAAACAAGAUGAUAAAAUGGCGGACAUUAACAACAAACUAUCGGAGAAUGCCUCGUUGAUUGCCAAUCUUGUUGAAUCUAUCGAGUUCAAUGCAGCUGAAGUCCGUGAUUGUAAAGAUAAAAUUGCGGGUUUGGAGAAGGAAGCCUCAACUUUACGGGGAGAAGUUGAUGAGCUCAAAGAAAAGGCAAGAGAACGAGACCGGUAUUCACGAAGGUGGAAUCUAAGGAUUAAAGGAAUGAAAGAAGGUAUGGGCGAAGAUAUCAGAGGUGAUUAAAAUUCUCGCCAAGAUAGCCCCAGAAUGGUCUGAUAAUAUGGAGUACAUCGUCGACACUGUGCACUGGAUUGGAAGGAAAGAAGAGGGCAGAAAUCGCCAAGUCAUGAUUCAGUUCACGAAGCGCCUACAUCGAGAUGGAAUAUGGAAGAAGUCCAAAAACGCUCAGAUUUGUGAGACGGAAAAAAUCCGUUUUGCCGAGGAUUUGACGAAGGAGGAUCGUCUGGAACGGGAGAAAGUUUGGCCGAAAAUUUUACAAGCCAGAAAUGCGGGGGAGAAGGCUUACUACAGAGGAGCUGUCGGCUAUAUUAACGGCCGUCGCGUUCUGGCGGACGGCUGAAGGCUGUUUCACUUUUACUUGUUCUCUGAACUCUACCUAAAGAGGGACGCUUGACAGUUUGAAUGGGAUGGGAGUUGCC